GUGUGCCUAAUACAUGCAAGUCGUACGCACUGGCCCAACUGAUUGAUGGUGCUUGCACCUGAUUGACGAUGGAUCACCAGUGAGUGGCGGACGGGUGAGUAACACGUAGGUAACCUGCCCCGGAGCGGGGGAUAACAUUUGGAAACAGAUGCUAAUACCGCAUAACAACAAAAGCCACAUGGCUUUUGUUUGAAAGAUGGCUUUGGCUAUCACUCUGGGAUGGACCUGCGGUGCAUUAGCUAGUUGGUAAGGUAACGGCUUACCAAGGCGAUGAUGCAUAGCCGAGUUGAGAGACUGAUCGGCCACAAUGGAACUGAGACACGGUCCAUACUCCUACGGGAGGCAGCAGUAGGGAAUCUUCCACAAUGGGCGCAAGCCUGAUGGAGCAACACCGCGUGAGUGAAGAAGGGUUUCGGCUCGUAAAGCUCUGUUGUUGGAGAAGAACGUGCGUGAGAGUAACUGUUCACGCAGUGACGGUAUCCAACCAGAAAGUCACGGCUAACUACGUGCCAGCAGCCGCGGUAAUACGUAGGUGGCAAGCGUUAUCCGGAUUUAUUGGGCGUAAAGCGAGCGCAGGCGGUUGCUUAGGUCUGAUGUGAAAGCCUUCGGCUUAACCGAAGAAGUGCAUCGGAAACCGGGCGACUUGAGUGCAGAAGAGGA
rnacentral:rRNA from 2 species